CCACCCACAGGUCGCCCUGUGCCCUCCUGUUGAGCCAGAAGAUUACCCAUCGUUUUUUUUAAACAUUCCUUUUGCGCUACAAAAAAGUUUGGGGUUUUUUGUUGUUGUUGUUGGGGGUGGGGUGGUUUUUUUGUUUUUGUUUUUACUAUAUGAAAAUAUUGCUCCUUUUGAAUAAGUUUUAGGCGCUGAAUAAAAGACUCUUCAAUUUGCCCACUUAAAGAGGAUUGAGCCAGAUGGUAGUUGAAGAAUGCCACAGCUCUGUUCUUUUUGCCUCAUCGCAGCCCAUCAUUCUGUUUGCUUUCAGAUUAGUCCCCUUUUACCAUUCUGGUUAUUUAUUCAAUAACUGAAACUAUCACGAUUCACUAACCAUCAUAUUUCUCAGCAUUCUUUAUGUAAUUUGGAAGCAAUUUAGAAUAAAGCCCUGUCAAGGUUUUACAAAUAAGAACUAUUAAAGAAUAAGGCUUUGGAUACUUGC
rnacentral:lncRNA from 1 species